AUAGCGUAUAUUAAAGUUGUUGCAGUUAAAAAGCUCGUAGUUGAACUUUGGAUCUAACCAGCCGGUCCGCCGCAAGGCGAGUACUGGUUUUGGUUGGAUCUUUCCUCCUGGCUAACCUUGAUGUCCUUUACCGGAUGUCUUGGCGAACCAGGACUUUUACUUUGAAAAAAUUAGAGUGUUCAAAGCAGGCCUUCGCUCGAAUAUAUUAGCAUGGAAUAAUAGAAUAGGACGUAUGGUUCUAUUUUGUUGGUUUCUAGGACCGUCGUAAUGAUUAAUAGGGACAGUCGGGGGCAUCAGUAUUCAAUUGUCAGAGGUGAAAUUCUUGGAUUUAUUGAAGACUAACUACUG
rnacentral:rRNA from 1 species